UGUGUGGCCUAAUGUUUACUGUACUUUUGUUGGAGCUUAAAUGUCUCUGACUGCAAAGAUACUUUUUAACAUUGUGCCACCAAACAGAUCAGCUGUCUGAACCCCAAUUUGCAAUUGUUUUAGAGUUUAAUGAAACUGCAUGAAGAGCAGCACAGCUAUUUAAUACCCGUAAUGGCAGCAGCUUUAGGUGUCGGCACAGAGUGAGGAGUGCUGAGUGGGGUAUCUGAUAGCUUUAUCUGCUCCUCUUUAAUUAAAGUGAGUGAUUUUUUUUUGUCGGGCCAGAAUAUGGUUAAGUGUCACUGUCACAGUCAAUUCACAGAGCUCCUAUUUGCCACACACACGCCAUAUUGUAUUGUGCAUUUUUCAGUAAAUACAGCUUGUACGUACGGUAGAAUGUGAUUUUUUUGCGAACCCAUUUUAAAAUUAUGAUUAUAAAGAGCAUAAGGAUUUAUAAAUACCUUUUGCUUAAACCCUAUAACCCUGAUCCCUGCUAACUAGACAGUUCCAGUAAACUCCAGAUGAACUUAUUCAUUUUUAAUUUCACAGCACUGACUUAUUUAUCACCAGACGUCUGUAGAACCCUUUUUUUUUUUUUUUGCUUCUGUAAUGUUGUAGCAUCUGUGAAGUCACGGCAUGAGACAAAAUAUUUCUAGUAUGGCUUUGUUUUGAGACAAAGCAUAAAAGGAAACAACAGAAAAUUACUUUAUUUACCUGCCCGGAUCUUAAUCUACAAUUAAAUCUUAUUUUGUGAUCAAAACAGAAUUUCUAAAAAAUAUGAAUAAUAAUAAAAGCAGUAAUUGUGAUGAGUCACAGUCAUUCUGUGUUGUCUCGUCUCCUAUCUAUUCCGGCACAUUAAUUCAAUGACCUCUGUGUUCCAGUAAACCAGCGAUUCGGCAUUACCUGUGCUCUUUGGUUAUAGAGCACCCUGUAGUCACACAGGAGGGGGGGCUAAUUCACUCUAAACUAAAUGAAAUUCACAAUGCUCUGAGCCAUUGUGCCCUGGCAGCGGUCAUGCUGUGCUGCUCACAAUGUCAGAGUACAUUACACUCGGUCUGGGACGGUCGUCUUUUUAUAUGGAGCAAUUAUGAGAGACACCUACUUCUAUCAUGACCAUUAAAAAGGGACACAUUGACCAACUGCCAUGUUUUUCGUAUAUUCCCUAUUCUACUUUUUUGAAAAACAAGGGAGCCCUGAGUCUAUUUAAAGGGUUCACCCAAAAAUGAAAAUUCUGUCAUUAAUUACUCACCCUCAUGUCGUUCCACAUCUGUAAGACCCUCGUUCAUCUUCGGAACACAAAUUAAGAUCUUUUUGAUGAAAUCUGAGAACUUUAGAGAUCCAACGCAACUACCACUUUCAAGAAAGCAAAUGCUGUGCAUUAUUGUCACAGUCACCAGCACCAGCACUACGUUUCCCAGCAUCCCUCCUGUUCAUCACCUGCACACGAUCAUCAAUCACCCGCACCUGAAGACCAUCACCAUCAUUACCACUCAUCUGCACUCCCUUCAUAAGCAGUCACCAUCCUCACCACAGUGUCCGGUCUCGUAUGUUCCAUGUGUUGUGUUGCGUGUAUACCUGUUCCUGUAUUAUCUCCCGUUGGAUUACUAAGUAAAGACUUGUUUGAAAAUUAUCAUCUUCGUUGUGUGUUCCUGCGCAAGCAGCACGUUACAAUUAUAAUGUUUUAAUGUCUAAAUUCAACAAGACAGAUUUUAGUGUUUUAUUUUUUAUUUCAUUAAGCAAAAUACAGAAUUUUAAUAUUGACCAUUUAUUUGUUAUUGGCCAUGACAUAAAAUAAUUAACAGCGUAUCGGUAUCAGCCAUAAGUUUAAUAUUGGUGCAUUCCUAUUUAUAAUAAAUUUAUACAUUAUCAAACCCAUGACCCAUUGGCAUUUUUAGCAUCAGUUUAGCAAUAUCAACCCUUGUAUGUAAUUGAAGGUCCUUUCUCGAUCAUGUCUAAAUACACAUGCUGUCUCCAAUACACAAAGGCCUAGACAUUUCAAUAACUCUAUUGGAACGGUUUGUCCAGUCCGAACAGCUGAAGUUUUCAGACACAUAAAGUCCAGCUGUCAAGUUGAAGUUGGCAGUUCCUUUACUUAGGACCAUAAAAUCCUGUUGUUAGUCAACCUGGGGUGUCUGUGUGUGUGUGUGUAAACAGAGAUUUGUCUGGGCAGACAGGGUCAUGGGUGAGCUAUAUGGACAUUGACCUGGAAACCCUAAGCAUCUGCCAUUAAACAUUGGCCGUAAUGAGAUCGUGAGACAGACCUAAUCCUGGGCCUUGCUCACACAGGACUUCAGAGGACAUGUGAAUGGACUUUAAUGUAAUACUGCACAUUAAAUGCAGUAGUGAGGGGGCAUGUGUAGUGAGAUGCCAUGAUCAAGUGGUGAUCAUUAAAAACAUAUAUAGAGUGUUGUGGUACUGAGCUAGUGAGCACAUUGGUAGUAUAAUUGAGCUGUGUGUGUUUUUCUAUCUGUUUCAGUGUAACACCAUGACUGCUGUCCCUCUCUUAUGAGUGUGCAGGCUAUUGUGACCAGCUGCUCCGUCCGCAGUAAACAGUGUGGAGCAGAUUACUCUAAUGCCCCAUAAUCACAGUUACAUAACCCACACACUCAUCCUUUGUUUUGAUUUCAGAUUCUCUUCUUUGAACUCACAAACAGCUUUGCUUUCAAAUCAAACAAUGCAGCAUUGUAGGGAAAGUAACAUUGCAUUUAGCUUUCAUCAGCCAUUGGUAACAAAUAAAGUAUUCUGCCAUGUUUGUGGAUCACUUUAGUUUAUGACUGCACUUAAUUGGAUAGUGAAUUUUAGUUAAUUUUAGUUAAUUUUGAAUUUUAGUUAGUUUUAGAAAGUUAAGGUUUCCAACAAAUGAUCUCCACUGACCGCAGAUUCAGGUAUCACUUUAGAAUACAGUUCCGUCGUUAAUGAAAACCUACACAAUAACAAAUGAGUAAUGAAUUAGUAAGUAAUAGAUUACUUAGAACUACUGUUUACAGGUUCAUAAUUAAUGUCUAUAAUGCUUAGUGUAUAAUUAAUUCUAAAGUAAAGAUCAUGGUAACCCACUAGUAAUGACUCAAGUAUCAAGUAUUUUUGUAGGGUUUUGGAUAGUAAUGACUCCAGUGUUACUGCCUCCUUCUAAAAGAAUUGCUAAUUAUUUGGAACAGUAUUCUAAGGUGAAGAUCAUGGUAACCCACUAGUAAUGAUUCAAGUAUCUUCUAAAGGAAUUACUAAUUAUUUGGAAUGGUAUUCUAAGGUGAAGAUUGUAACCCACUAGUAAUGAUUCAAGUGUUACUGCCUCCUUCUAAAAGAAUUACUAAUUAAUUGGAACGGUAUUCUAAGUUGAAAUCAUGGUAACCCAAGCCUGGUUUCUCCCAAGGUUUUUUUCUCCAUUUUAACACCAAUUUGCCACUUGUCUGCCACCUAAUGUCACCUGAUGGAGUUUGGGUUCCUUGCCGCUGUCGCCUCUGGCUUGCUUAGUUGGGGACACUUGACUUGACAUUUGAUAUUCAACAGUGCUUUGAUCUGCCUGCAUUGACACUAUUCUUUAAGAGCUGCUGUGCAGCCAAACAAUGUACCAGUUAUCAAUGUAAAGCUGCUUUGACACAAUCUACAUUGUAAAAAGCGCUAUAUAAAUAAAGGUGACUUGAC